rnacentral:misc_RNA from 1 species
CAUAUUCAUCCCCAUGGCAUCACCAGUGCUACAGCUGAAUCUCAUGUAGAGAUUCCUCCCUGCAAGUGAGCAUUGAAUACCUUGGAGCUUUGCAAAUCUGCUCGACCUAUUGAAGACAACAGCAAGUGUAUCAAAGUUCUCCGGCUCCUCCAGGAAGAACUUGAGCUCAGCCGCCCUCAUCGCCGUCGGAAACCUCACCACCGGCGCCCGCGUCAUCCCAUCCUUCAUCACCACACUCAUCGCCCCGCCCGACUCUAAUAUAGCUUUGCAUCCCCUAUUUGUACUCGCAACCAAACACCCCUCAGUAGUCGCCAUCGGCACAUAGAACUCCCUCCCAUCCAGGGCCAGUGGCCCAGCAAUCCCCACCGGGAGCUGAACAUACCCAAUCGGCAACUCACAGCACUGCCCCAGGAUCGAUGCAUAGUCAAACCCCUCAAUUGGCAGCCCCUCCAUCGGCCGGCCAGUCAUCCGCCGCAGCGCCUCACGCCGGAUCGCAACGGCCCGCCGGCAGUCGCCCAGCUUCGAUUCCAGUAUAUAUGACGGUGUUUUGCCGGAUACCACUGAGGCGAUUAUAUCCUCAUCACUAGCAUCGACAGCCGGUACUGAGAUUGAUUCUUUGUCGGAGCGGAGGAGGGGGCAUGGAGCCGGCGCGGCCGGCGGGGCCGGCUGCGCCGGCGAGGGGAGGAGGAAGUCGUCGUCAUCCUCGUGUGAGGAGACGACGGACUGGACGUAGGCGAUCCCGAAGAAGCUGAUGAGGUAGAUGAGGGAAGCGACGAGGCAGAUCAUGGCGGCCAUCUCGGCAAGGCCGAUGACGUGGAGGGGGGCGGCGACGCGGACCUUUUCGCGCCAUCGGCGCAUGAGGAAGACUAGGGAGGCGGCGAAGAGGGCGGAGAAGAGGAGGUUGGUGUGGCGAAUGGGGAGAGGGAGGGCGUCAGAGGCUUGGAUGCCGGCGGCGAGGGGCGGCGGCGCCGCCGGAGGCGGGCGGGUGGAGGGUUUGCGGCGGCGGAGGUCCAUCGGGAGGGGAGGGAACCGCGCCGCGCCUUCCUCCGCGCCGCGAAAGGUGUGUGGGG